AAUCAACGCUGGCGGCGUGCCUCAGACAUGCAAGUCGAACGCGAAAGUCUCCUUCGGGGGGACAAGUAGAGUGGCGCACGGGUGAGUAACACGUAGGUAAUCUACCUUCGGAUGGGGAAUAACAACCGGAAACGGUUGCUAAUACCGCAUAAUGCAGCGGCACCUAAUGGUGACAGUUGUUAAAGCGGGGGAUCGUAAGACCUCGCGUCUGAAGAGGAGCCUGCGGCGGAUUAGCAGUUGGUAAGGUAAUGGCUUACCAAGGCUACGAUCCGUAACCGGCCUGAGAGGGCGGUCGGUCACACUGACACUGACAUACGGGUCAGACUCCUACGGGAGGCAGCAGUCGGGAAUUUUGGGCAAUGGGCGAAAGACCUGACCCAGCAACGCCGCGUGAAGGAUG
rnacentral:rRNA from 1 species